UAACGCGUGAGCAACCUGCCCCGAAGACCGGGAUAGCCCAGGGAAACUUGGAUUAAUACCGGAUAUCCUCCUUUGAUCGCAUGGUCGUUGGAAGAAAUGCUUUUACGCUUCGGGAUGGGCUCGCGGCCUAUCAGCUUGUUGGUGGGGUAACGGCCUACCAAGGCGUCGACGGGUAGCUGGUCUGAGAGGACGAUCAGCCACACUGGGACUGAGACACGGCCCAGACUCUACGGGA
rnacentral:rRNA from 1 species